rnacentral:tRNA from 1 species
GGGCGGUUAGCUCAGCUGGCAGAGCGUCGCGUUUACACCGCGAAUGUCGGCGGUUCGAUCCCGUCACCGCCCACCA